UACGUAGGGUGCAAGCGUUGUCCGGAAUUAUUGGGCGUAAAGAGCUCGUAGGCGGUCUGUCGCGUCGAAUGUGAAAAUCCGGGGCUCAACCCCGGACCUGCAUUCGAUACGGGCAGACUAGAGUUCGGUAGGGGGAGUCUGGAAUUCCUGGUGUAGCGGUGAAAUGCGCAGAUAUCAGGAGGAACACCGGUGGCGAAGGCGGGACUCUGGGCCGAUACUGACGCUGAGGUGCGAAAGCGUGGGGAGCAAACAGG
rnacentral:rRNA from 1 species